UACAGAGGGGGCAAGCGUUGUUCGGAAUUACUGGGCGUAAAGGGCGCGUAGGCGGCCAACUAAGUCGGACGUGAAAUCCCCAGGCUCAACCUGGGAACUGCGUCCGAUACUGGAUGGCUCGAAUCCGGGAGAGGGAUGUGGAAUUCCAGGUGUAGCGGUGAAAUGCGUAGAUAUCUGGAGGAAUACCGGUGGCGAAGGCGGCAUCCUGGACCGGCAUUGACGCUGAUGAGCGAAAGCUAGGGGAGCAAACGGG
rnacentral:rRNA from 1 species